rnacentral:rRNA from 1 species
UACGAAGGGGACUAGCGUUGUUCGGAAUUACUGGGCGUAAAGCGCACGUAGGCGGAUUUGUAAGUCAGGGGUGAAAUCCCGGGGCUCAACCUCGGAACUGCCUUUGAUACUGCAAAUCUCGAGUCCGGAAGAGGUGAGUGGAAUUCCUAGUGUAGAGGUGAAAUUCGUAGAUAUUAGGAAGAACACCAGUGGCGAAGGCGGCUCACUGGUCCGGUACUGACGCUGAGGUGCGAAAGCGUGGGGAGCAAACAGGG